rnacentral:rRNA from 1 species
CAGCCGCCACGGUAAUACGUAGGGUGCAAGCGUUAAUCGGAAUUACUGGGCGUAAAGCGUGCGCAGGCGGUUAUAUAAGACAGAUGUGAAAUCCCCGGGCUCAACCUGGGAACUGCAUUUGUGACUGUAUAGCUAGAGUACGGCAGAGGGUGAUGGAAUUCCGCGUGUAGCAGUGAAAUGCGUAGAUAUGCGGAGGAACACCGAUGGCGAAGGCAAUCCCCUGGGCCUGUACUGACGCUCAUGCACGAAAGCGUGGGGAGCAAACAGGAUUAGAUACCCCGGUAGUCCCUGUCUCUUAUAU